AGAAGGAGCUGGAGGCCCCGGGAGUGCAGACGGCAUUUCAGUGCUCACAGGAGAGCGUCCGUAGAUGGCGAGGACAGAGAAGGGGUUACCAGGGAAGCCGAGGAGAUGCCAUGUGAGGGUGCAGCGAGGAGUUGGGCUGUCUAAAAGCAAAGAAAGAGAUUGCAUCAGACACCGCAUCUGCUGACACCUUGUUCUUGGACUUCCAGCUUCCAAAACCGCGAGAAAUAAAUGUCUGUGUCUAAACCCCAACCCUACCACCUCAACUGCCGUGUGUGGUGUUUUGUGAUGGCAGCCCCAGCUGACUGAGACACCUGGUUAGACCGGAAUAAGCAGGCUGCAAUCGGUAGCAGUCACCAUUGAACAUCCUUGAAGCAAUUCUUCCAAAAUUACCUUGCAUCAAAGACUGCACAAGAACUGCUCUAAGCGGAAGGACUGAUGUCGGCAACCAGGGUUCCACCAGGGGCUGCAGACAGCCCUUGACCUUCAGAAGUAACCAAAUUUACUCACGUAGGCCAGGAAUUUCUAUGACGUGUUCCAAAUUCAGCCUCUCACUGAACACUUCCAGAGCAAGGCAACAUAAACAUCUGCAAGAAGAACAUUGUGUGAGAAAUAUCAAGUGAGAGUGGAAGAGUCUGCGGAGGGCCUCCCUGGGGCUCACCUGUGCUUUUGCCUGAGCUUCACCGUGUCAAGGAUGCAGCACUUUUUCCCUCUGGAGGAAGCAGCUUUCACCUUGGAAGAAUCUUGACCUUGCCAUUCAAAGUCACCAGACAGGGAAUCUGCCAGUGCCUUGAUCUUAGACUUCCCAGCUUCUGUAACUGUGAGCAAUAAAUGUAUGCUGCUUAUAAACUA
rnacentral:lncRNA from 1 species